AGUGAACGCUGGCGGUAGGCCUAACACAUGCAAGUCGAACGGCAGCACAGUAAGAGCUUGCUCUUACGGGUGGCGAGUGGCGGACAUGUGAGGAAUACAUCGGAAUCUACUUUUUCGUGGGGGAUAACGUAGGGAAACUUACGCUAAUACCGCAUACGACCUACGGGUGAAAGCAGGGGAUCUUCGGACCUUGCGCGAUUGAAUGAGCCGAUGUCGGAUUAGCUAGUUGGCGGGGUAAAGGCCCACCAAGGCGACGAUCCGUAGCUGGUCUGAGAGGAUGAUCAGCCACACUGGAACUGAGACACGGUCCAGACUCCUACGGGAGGCAGCAGUGGGGAAUAUUGGACAAUGGGCGCAAGCCUGAUCCAGCCAUACCGCGUGGGUGAAGAAGGCCUUCGGGUUGUAAAGCCCUUUUGUUGGGAAAGAAAAGCAGCAGGUUAAUACCCCGCUGUUCUGACGGUACCCAAAGAACAAGCACCGGCUAACUUCGUG
rnacentral:rRNA from 1 species